GCUUGCAUCCGGGGAUUAGUGGCGAACGGGUGAGUAACACGUGAGUAACCUGCCCUUAACUCUGGGAUAAGCCUGGGAAACUGGGUCUAAUACCGGAUAUGACUCCUCAUCGCAUGGUGGGGGGUGGAAAGCUUUAUUGUGGUUUUGGAUGGACUCGCGGCCUAUCAGCUUGUUGGUGAGGUAAUGGCUCACCAAGGCGACGCACGGGUAGCCGGCCUGAGAGGGUGACCGGCCACACUGGGACUGAGACACGUGCCCAGACUCCUACGGGAGGCAGGCAGUGGGGAAUAUUGCACAAUGGGCGCAAGCCUGAUGCAGCGACGCCGCGUGAGGGAUGACGGCCUUCGGGUUGUAAACCUCUUUCAGUAGGGAAGAAGCGAAAGUGACGGUACCUGCAGAAGAAGCGCCGGCUAACUACGUGCCAGCAGCCGCGGUAAUACGUAGGGCGCAAGCGUUAUCCGGAAAUUAUUGGGCGUAAAGAGCUCGUAGGCGGUUUGUCGCGUCUGCCGUGAAAGUCCGGGGCUCAACUCCGGAUCUGCGGUGGGUACGGGCAGACUAGAGUGAUGUAGGGGAGACUGGAAUUCCUGGUGUAGCGGUGAAAUGCGCAGAUAUCAGGAGGAACACCGAUGGCGAAGGCAGGUCUCUGGGCAUUAACUGACGCUGAGGAGCGAAAGCAUGGGGAGCGAACAGGAUUAGAUACCCUGGUAGUCCAUGCCGUAAACGUUGGGCACUAGGUGUGGGGGACAUUCCACGUUUUCCGCGCCGUAGCUAACGCAUUAAGUGCCCCGCCUGGGGAGUACGGCCGCAAGGCUAAAACUCAAAGGAAUUGACGGGGGCCCGCACAAGCGGCGGAGCAUGCGGAUUAAUUUCGAUGCAACGCGAAGAACCUUUACCAAGGCUUGACAUGGACCGGACCGGGCUGGUAAACAGUCCUUUCCCCUUUUGGGGCCGGUUCACAGGUGGUGCAUGGUUGUCGUCAGCUCGUGUCGUGAGAUGUUGGGUUAAGUCCCGCAACGAGCGCCAACCCUCGUUCCAUGUUGCCAGCGCGUAAUGGCGGGGACUCAUGGGAGACCUGCCGGGGUCAACUCGGAGGAAGGUGGGGACGACGUCAAAUCAUCAUGCCCCUUAUGUCUUGGGCUUCACGCAUGCUACAAUUGGGCCGGUACAAAGGGUUGCGAUACUGUGAGGUGGAGCUAAUCCCAAAAAGCCGGUCUCAGUUCGGAUUGGGGUCUGCAACUCGACCCCAUGAAGUCGGAGUCGCUAGUAAUCGCAGAUCAGCAACGCUGCGGUGAAUACGUUCCCGGGCCUUGUACACACCGCCCGUCAAGUCACGAAAGUUGGUAACACCCGAAGCCGGUGGC
rnacentral:rRNA from 1 species